rnacentral:rRNA from 1 species
UUCCUACGGGAGGCAGCAGUGAGGAAUAUUGGUCAAUGGACGAGAGUCUGAACCAGCCAAGUAGCGUGAAGGAUGACUGCCCUAUGGGUUGUAAACUUCUUUUAUAUGGGAAUAAAACGUUCCACGUGUGGGAUUUUGUAUGUACCAUAUGAAUAAGGAUCGGCUAACUCCGUGCCAGCAGCCGCGGUAAUACGGAGGAUGCGAGCGUUAUCCGGAUUUAUUGGGUUUAAAGGGUGCGCAGGCGGAAGAUCAAGUCAGCGGUAAAAUUGAGAGGCUCAACCUCCUCGAGCCGUUGAAACUGGUUU